GGAUACAGAUUGCCGGGCUUCGGUCUUGCCUUCUGCCCCUCCCUUACUGAUUUUACCCAUGUCUUUUGCGUACUAUUUGUUUCCUUGGUGGGCUUGCCUGCCGAUAGGACAUCAUUAAACCUUUUGUAAUCGCAGUCAGCGUCAGAAAAACAUAAUAAUUACAACUUUCAACAACGGAUCUCUUGGUUCUGGCAUCGAUGAAGAACGCAGCGAAAUGCGAUAAGUAGUGUGAAUUGCAGAAUUCAGUGAAUCAUCGAAUCUUUGAACGCACAUUGCGCCCCUUGGUAUUCCAUGGGGCAUGCCUGUUCGAGCGUCAUUUGUACCCUCAAGCUCUGCUUGGUGUUGGGUGUUUGUCCCGCUUUUCGCGUGGACUCGCCUUAAAACAAUUGGCAGCCGGCAUAUUGGCCUGGAGCGCAGCACAAUUUGCGCCUCUUGUCAUGAUUGUUGGCAUCCAUCAAGACCAUUUUUUGCUCUUGACCUCGGAUCAGGUAGGGAUACCCGCUGAACUUAAGCAUAUCAAUAAGCGGAGGAAAAGAAACCAACAGGGAUUGCCCUAGUAACGGCGAGUGAAGCGGCAACAGCUCAAAUUUGAAAUCUGGCUCUUUUAGGGUCCGAGUUGUAAUUUGCAGAGGGCGCUUUGGCGUUGGCAGCGGUCCAAGUUCCUUGGAACAGGACGUCACAGAGGGUGAGAAUCCCGUACGUGGUCGCUAACCUUCGCCGUGUAAAGCCCCUUCGACGAGUCGAGUUGUUUGGGAAUGCAGCUCUAAAUGGGAGGUAAAUCUCUUCUAAAGCUAAAUACUGGCCAGAGGCCGAUAGCGCACAAGUAGAGUGAUCG
rnacentral:rRNA from 1 species